GGUAAAUCUUUGGUCGUUGGUUGAAGCAGAGGUCCAGAGUCACUGCAGAGAGAGCCGUCUGAGAUGAAAAUCAAACGUUAAAUUGCGUCACUAGCAGAAAGAGAGCACUCAUGAAGUCUCAUUGAAGUAUGCUGGCAGGGCCCAGGGGUCUCUCAACACACUAAAAGACAGUCAUUUGUCGCCACCUAGUGGAGUAAUGAUAGACCCUGCAGAAAGAGUUACGAAUUCAUCUUUUAGUGAAUGGAGUCAAUGGACUGGAAUAACUUGGGGAAAUCAACAUCAACAUUAUAAAGACAGCACAGGGAUAGUGGGUGUGUAUGAAGGUUAUACAAAGUGGGCAGUAAAUAAAUGAA